UCCAUUGAUGACUCAAUCCAAUUUGUUGAGUUGUAGUGAAUCUGAGACCCUGUUUACAGGGAGAACCCCUUGGUGGAGCUACAUUUCGUAUGACAUUAAUGGAUUUAACUGAGGU